ACUUCACGCAGUCGAGUUGCAGACUGCGAUCCGGACUACGAUACACUUUCUGGGAUUAGCUCCCCCUCGCGGGUUGGCAGCCCUCUGUAUGUACCAUUGUAUGACGUGUGAAGCCCUACCCAUAAGGGCCAUGAGGACUUGACGUCAUCCCCACCUUCCUCCGGUUUGUCACCGGCAGUCUCAUUAGAGUGCCCUUUCGUAGCAACUAAUGACAAGGGUCGCGCUCGUUGCGGGACUUAACCCAACAUCUCACGACACGAGCUGACGACAGCCAUGCAGCACCUGUGUUCAGGCUCCCUUUCGGGCACCCCUCAAUCUCUCGAGGGUUCCUGACAUGUCAAGGGUAGGUAAGGUUUUUCGCGUUGCAUCGAAUUAAUCCACAUCAUCCACCGCUUGUGCGGGUCCCCGUCAAUUCCUUUGAGUUUUAAUCUUGCGACCGUACUCCCCAGGCGGUCUACUUCACGCGUUAGCUGCGUUACCAAGUCAAUUAAGACCCGACA
rnacentral:rRNA from 1 species